rnacentral:rRNA from 1 species
GACGAACGCUGGCGGCGUGCUUAACACAUGCAAGUCGAACGGAAAGGCCCUGCUUUUGUGGGGUGCUCGAGUGGCGAACGGGUGAGUAACACGUGAGUAACCUGCCCUUGACUUUGGGAUAACUUCAGGAAACUGGGGCUCAUACCGGAUAUGAGCUCCUGCUGCAUGGUGGGGGUUGGAAAGUUUCGGCGGUUGGGGAUGGACUCGCGGCUUAUCAGCUUGUUGGUGGGGUAGUUGCUUACCAAGGCUUUGACGGGUAGCCGGCCUGAGAGGGUGAACGGCCACAUUGGGACUGAGAUACGGACCAGACUCCUACGGGAGGCAGAAGUGGGGAAUAUUGCACAAUGGGCGGAAGCCUGAUGCAGCAACGCCGCGUGCGGGAUGACGGCCUUCGGGUUGUAAACCGAUGUCGCCUGUGACGAAGCGUGAGUGACGGUAAUGGGUAAAGAAGCACCGGCUAACUACGUG